GACAGAGGGUGUAAACGUUGUUCGGAAUUACUGGGCGUAAAGCGCGUGUAGGCUGCUCAGAAAAGUCGGAUGUGAAAGCCCUGGGCUUAACCUAGGAAGUGCAUUCGAAACUUCUGAGCUUGAGUUCUGGAGAGGAAGGCGGAAUUCUCGGUGUAGAGGUGAAAUUCGUAGAUAUACGAGAGGAACACCGGUGGGCGAAGGCGGCCUUCUGGACAGUGACUGACGCUGAGGAACGGAAAGCGUGGGGAGCGAACAGG
rnacentral:rRNA from 1 species